rnacentral:misc_RNA from 1 species
GGAUGGAUCAUACCAUUUACCAAUCUGAUUUGCGAAUUUAACAUUAGUUACUAUUUCUACGAAGUAGCUGUAUGGCUACCUACCAAUUUACAUACACUUAAUAGUUGUUCGGUGGAUUUCUUGGCUGGGUUGAUGAAGAAGCGCGGUAACGUCCCUGAAAGACUUUUACUAUGCUAUUCAUUGUGAAAGGUUCGUGAAUAUGUUGUUUGCUUGGCAGUAAGUUCUCUGUGGUUUACCAUUUUAUAUCUAGUUCAUUGUUGGUUCGUUCGAUACUAAUUUGAUGAACCGCCCAUAUGAUAUCCCUGAGAUCUUACGAGUUACCCACUGAACUUAAGCAUAUCAGUAAGUGGAGGAAAAUAAACCAAAUGGGAUCACGUGAUUAGCGGCGAGUGAAAACGUGAAAUUGUUCUGUUGUCCCACUGUGAUUGCAACUCAGGUUGCGUCGCUCUGGGCAUUUGAACUCUUGUAAGUAGGCCUUGUUGAUACUCAAGGUUGAAUUGCAUGUGGAAACAUGCCAAGAACUAAUACGCACCCAGACCGAUAGCUUACAAGUACCGUGAGGGAAAGUUAACGAGUUUCAUUAGAAACCGCAUGAUGAAACCUUACAACCGGAAGGGUUCAAGCUCGAGAGUAAGAACCACCCGUCUUGAAACACGGACCAAGGAGUCACUGUUGUCGGCGAGCGAGACCUUCGGGGAACGCGGAUCGAAAGAAUUUGACAAUUGUUAGUCGUUGACAGUGGACCCGAAAGAUGGUGAACUAAUCUUGACUAGGAUGAAGCCAGAUGAAACUCUGGUGGAAGUCCGUUUCGAUACUGACGCGCAAAUCGUUCGUAUAAGUUGAGUUUAGGGGCGAAAGACUAAUCGAACCAUCUAGUAGCUGGUUCCCUC